UACGGAGGGUGCGAGCGUUGUCCGGAAUCAUUGGGCGUAAAGGGCGCGUAGGUGGCCUGUGCAAGCGUGCGGUGAAAGCUCGGGGCUCAACCCCGAGUCGGCCGUGCGAACUGCUGGGCUCGAGCACUGUAGAGGCAGGCGGAAUUCCGGGUGUAGCGGUGGAAUGCGUAGAGAUCCGGAAGAACACCGGUGGCGAAGGCGGCCUGCUGGGCAGUGGCUGACACUGAGGCGCGACAGCGUGGGGAGCAAACAGG
rnacentral:rRNA from 1 species